rnacentral:rRNA from 1 species
UACAGAGGGUGCAAGCGUUGUUCGGAAUUAUUGGGCGUAAAGCGCGUGUAGGCGGCUUUGCAAGUCGGGUGUGAAAGCCCUCAGCUCAACUGAGGAAGUGCGCCCGAAACUGCAGAGCUUGAGUGCCGGAGAGGGUGGCGGAAUUCCCCAAGUAGAGGUGAAAUUCGUAGAUAUGGGGGAGGAACACCGGUGGCGAAGGCGGCCGACCUGGACGGUAACUGGACGCUGAGACGCGAAAGCGUGGGGAGCAAACAGG